rnacentral:lncRNA from 1 species
CUUGAGUGUUAAGUUGUAUAUCCUAACAUACAAGCUUUAUUUCAUCUUUCUUCUGUUUUCCCUCCACAGUUCAAAGGAGCAGACUGAGGAAGACAGAAGUGAUGCCGUAAACAUCGAUGCCAAAGAGAGCUUGGAGGACAAGAGGCGGUAUGAUCUAGCCUGUCCUCCUGUAGUGACUUACGGCAGGUACCGUGGAUUGAGGGAAGUCCGGAAACCAAAGAAGAAGCAUCGCGUCGAGCUUCAUUCGCCUAUCUCUGAGGGAGAAGAGGCUACACAAUCCGACGGCCAUGAGGACAGUGAGAUCUCCUCUUGCGCUGUGAACACCAUGAGCUCUGAUAGUCAGGAAAACCCCACUCUCGUAAAUCAAGCAUCUCCUUCCCAGGCUCAGAGUGUCUUAUCAGACCAGGUUCCUGAACUAACUCCAGCCCACCAACUCCCCCAUGUUGCAGGAUCUGGCCUGUCGCUUUCCUGUGUAGAGACAGAACAAAGUCCGCCGAAGGACCCAGUGAACAGCGGACAGGAGCAUCUUGCUCGGAGUGCUACGCCACAGACGCUAUCGGGGGACAACGAUGAUCUGACCAUUUCAGACACCAACACAGACCAUCACGACACUCAGAGAUCAGAGUCAUCUUUAAUUGUAGACAGAACGGAUGAUCUAGUCCCUGGUUCUCAGACGUGCUGGACUCUGGAGGAGUUUGAGCUGAAACGGGCUGCGGUGGAUUUUGGGAUGGAUGAAGAAGUCCUGCAAUUGGAGUCUAAAAAGAUGGUGGAUAACAUCCUGACAAAUGCCCUCGCUGCCCUGCACAAGAUGGAAGCAUCUGAGACGGAGCGUGAGGUCCUGUCGACCCAUGAACCCAGCGAAGGCUCCGAGGCAGUGCUGUUUGAAGGAUCAGAUGGCCGUGGAGAUGGCGGCACUAAUGCAGAGCAUCAGUUUGGCGUGAUGUUGACGGACCAGACAUUGUCUGCGGUUCUCGAGGGAACGCUAGCAGGCCAUGUGGACUGCAGCAGGUCACCGCCCUCCUCAGGGUACGAGUCCAUCGCUGGCUCCGACACGGACAUCAGGUGCAUCGUGGGCGUGGCCUCUGACGUCGUCACUAGCAGCGCUCCAAUCGGCUCUCAGAAUGAGAAUCAAGCCGUUCUUGAAAAUCUUUCUGAAGAAAAGAACGUGGAUGGAACCCGUAAGAGCAGCGGGAGAAACUCUGUGCUCAGUGCUGCUGCUGAUGAGCCAUUAUCCCCUAAUCUCCAUAAAACAGACAUCAAGCUCUUGUCGGAGGAGUCUCUCUGGCGUGAGCAGCACACGGGUGACGUCUCCGUAUGUGAAGCGGAGUGGGUAAGAGGGGAAAAGAGACCUCAGGAUACAGCCAAAGACAAUGCAAUGAGCAAUAACUGUAGACUCAGCCUGAAUGGUUCCUGUGGCACUUCUGGCACGGCUCCAUCAGCGCAUCAGGAGAGUCUUCAACAAAGCCAAACUCUCAGUGCAAUGGGAAAGUCAGACCCCGUUAGCCACAGUCUUGCAUCUGACACAGCGGAUGCAGAUAUGAUGUCAGAAAUCCCACAAAGCCAUCAACCUGAGAAGACUGAAGGCAGUGGUGAGCAGGAACAGGUCUGCCGAGUCUCUCGGGCUGGAAUAGAUUCAUGUGUCCUGCCAUCCGUGACUGAAGUCCACCAUCCUUCUCAGUGGGCCACGGUCCAAGCGUUUCGCUGCGACGUCACCGAUUACCAAAGCCUGAGCCCCGCUACACUCCAGACAGAGCUCGGCGUGAACCGAGCAGAUGCUGGAUCGCCAGUCGUGUCAGUUUCCGGUCGUAGAAUUCACCUCGACGCCGUGGACAGCUCCAGCAGAACUGCGGCUGUCGUUCCCCAACACUCCCGGUUUCACGAUCUUGACCUCCACCAGGUCGAUGGAGGCUUCGCCAUCAUCAGCGAGGAGGAGGAGAGUGACAUGGUGUUCGUGAACGACAUGGGGCCCAUGCACAGUCCUAGCACACGUCGAGCCAAAGCAUACCCCUUCUCCCUGUCCCCCAUCUAUGAGGAGGAGUUCGGCCGCGAGGAGGCUUCAGGGCAGCAGACACUGCAGGUUCCUCCAGCGACAGAAGAGGAGCAGAGGAGCGUGGAGCAGCCGGCCUCGUCCAUCCUCUCCCUCUUGCAGUCGGUCAGCGAGAAGUUACAGUCCAGUGUGGUCUGCAGUUCAGUCAAGGAGUCCGUCCACGCACCGCUGAGCGGAGACGACAGUGAGGACGAUGACGAGGACUCCAGCAUCCUACAGCGCCGCCAGCUCAUCGAGGCCAAACCUGAGCGUGAGACUGCUAAUGACACUCCGGAUAGAAUACAGGAGGAACGGGAAUGUGAUGACACACUGUUUAAUAUUGGAAAGAACACCAAUACACCUUUCUAUCAGUACUUGAAGUCUGGAAUAAUGCCAUCAGGUGAUGAAGAACCUGAAGACACUAAACGCACUGUGUGUCGUAGCGCAGGCAACACAACGGGAGAGAUCGGAGGGUUCGGAAAGGUCAACCCUAGACCUGCAGCAGUGCUCAUCUACGAGAGUCAGUCGCUGAGCGGUGAGAGGAGAGACAUCUGUGAUGACGUGGAGGAUGCUGGGAGGGAUCUGUUUGCUGACAGGGGAACGCUUCACGCGCUGAGAGGAUGGUAAGCAUGUUUACCUUCAUCAGAUAAUAAGCCUGAGUAAAAUAAUCAAAC